rnacentral:lncRNA from 1 species
GAGAUUGAACAAGGCAGGCGCAGUGGGCUUUCUUGCUUCCUCUCUCUGGGUGUAAAGGAUUGUCUUUUUCUCUGUAUACUUAGGGCCGUGUGGGGUUUUUUGCAUUUUUGUGCUUUUUGGUGGUGAUUUCGCGGUUUAAAAUGACCGCUCAACGUAGUGGCGAAGUGCUGCCAGUGCUCCUAAGCGCAGGAAGGCUGUGAGGUGCCUUAUGGAGAAAAUACGUGUACCAGAUAAGCUUCGUGCAGGCGUGAGUUGUAGCGCUGCUGGCCGCGAGUUCAAUGUUAAUGAAUCAACAAUCCGGUACAUCAAAAAAAAAAAAAAAAAAAAAGGGAAAAGGAAAUUCGCCGAUCUGUCCGGGAGGCCCCCCGGAAAGUGCGCAAGUAACGUCUAUAGUACGUGAGGAAGCUAUGGAAAAGAUGGAAAAACGACUAAGUUUGUGGAUUCAUGAGAUGACAACCGACAGAAAAGACGUGGUGGACAGCAUUGUCUUGAGGCUGAAAGCCAAAGAAAUUUACGGUCAUGUAACCCAGGGCCAGAAAAACGUGAAACCUUUCUCCGCCAGCGCUGGCUGGCUGGCGCGUUUCAAGAGGCGGUGUGGCGUGAACAAUGUUAAACUAGCAGGUGAGGCAAGUUCUGCAGAUCAGGAGGCUGCGGGAGAAUUUUAAAAGCACUUGCUGAGUGUUAUACAGGAGAAAGGAUAUGUGGAAGAGCAGGUUUUCAACGCUGAUGAGACUGGCUUAUUUUACAAGGACGUUGGCAGAAGAACCUAUAUGACACAAAUGGCCUGCAAAGCCCCUGGCUUUAAAUCAUUCCAAGACUAUGCAACCUUGCUCUUGUGCACCAAUGCCAAGGGCGACUUCAAGUGCAAACCCCUAAUGGUAUACAGAGCCCAGAAUCCACAAGCACUUACAGGAAAAAGCGUUAACCAUAUGCCGUUCCGUUGGAGGAACAAAAAAAGCCUGGAUGACAUCCUAUUGUUUCACAACUGCUUCAUACCAGAAGUUGAAUGCUAUCUCCAGGGCAGAAACCUUGCCUUCAAGGUUUUAUUAAUUUUGGAUAAUGCCCCAGUCCGUUGCUUGAGGAACUCAGAAAUGCCCAUCCCAACGUAGAAGGUCUUUUCAUGACCCCAAACACUACAUCUCUCAUCCAACCCCUGGAUCAGGGUAUAAUAAAAGCUUUCAAGGCACACUAUACCAGGGAGCUUUAUAGCAAGGCUUUCGAGGCUUUCAAGUCCAACACAGACUACCAUGUUGGACUACUGGAAGUCAGUUACUCUACACAGUGUUAUUGAUUAUGUUGGGACAGCCUGGGACAGCAUCAAACAAGCUACUCUCAACAGCUGUUGGGAAAAUGUUUGGCCAGACUGUGUGCAAAAUUUUGAAGGCUUUGAAGGUGUUACAGAAAGUAUAAAGAACAGUGUCAAAAAGAUAACGCAUAUCACACGGCAAAUAAGUGGAGAAGGCUUUGAUGACAUGAAGGAGGAAGAUGUGGAGGAAAUUUUGGCAGAGAAGGCAAUAGAACCCACCAAUGAAGACCUGGACGCGAUGGCAAAACAAGGCACUGGAGUCGGCAAUGACGAGGAUGGUGAUGAAAGUCAGUCAACCUAAGACUUCAAGAAUUGACCCUCUUGGGCAGCCCGGGUGGCUCAGUGGUUUAGCACCGCCUUCAGCCCAGGGUGUGAUCCUGGAGACCUGGGAUCGAGUCCCACGUCGGGCUCCCUGCGUGGAGCCUGCUUCUCCCUCUCCCUGUGUCUCUGCCUCAGACAUGUACCUGUGGAGUUGCUCUCUGUCUCUGUGUCUCUCAUGAAUAAAUAAAAAUUAAAAAAAAAAA